ensembl:lncRNA
CCUGAGUGACCAACAGAGUGACCACAGUGACCAGAGUGACCAUCAUGGUCACCAGGGACAGCCCGGCCCUGCAGCAGCACGGACACGGGGCUGGACACUGACCGAGAGUGACCACAGUGACCAGAGUGACCAGAGUGACCAUCAGGGACAUCUGAGUGACCACAGUGACCAACAGGGACAUCUGAGUGACCAUCAUGGUCACCAGGGACAGCCCGGCCCUGCAGCAGCACGGACACGGGGCUGGACACUGACCGGACACCUGAGUGACCAACAGAGUGACCACAGUGACCAUCAGAGUGACCAUCAUGGUCACCAGGGACAGCCCGGCCCUGCAGCAGCACGGACACGGCGCCGGACACUGACCGAGAGUGACCACAGUGACCAACAGGGACAUCUGAGUGACCAUCAUGGUCACCAGAGACAGCCCGGCCCUGCAGCAGCACGGACACGGGGCUGGACACUGACCGCGAGUGACCACAGUGACCACAGUGACCAUCAUGGCCAUCAGGGACAUCUGAGUGACCACAGUGACCAACAGGGACAUCUGAGUGACCACAGUGACCAACAGAGUGACCACAGUGACCAUCAGGGACAUCUGAGUGACCACAGUGACCAACAGGGACAUCUGAGUGACCAAUGGGGACACCUGAGUGACCACCAUGUCCAUCCUGGUGCCCACCAUUCCUACACCCACAACCUCCUUGACCACCAACCCCUCGCCCACCAUCUUGAAGGCCACCAACCCUUUGUCCACCACCACCCCACUGACCACCAACCCCAUCCUGAUGACCACCACCACCACCCCAAAGACCACCACGUCCAUCCUGGUGUCCACCAUUCCUACACCCACAACCUCCUUGACCACCAAUCCCAUCCUGAUGCCCACCAACUCCACCCUGAUGCCCACCAACCCCUUGACCACCACUCCACUGACCACCACGUCCAUCCUGGUGACCACCAACACCAUCCUGGUGACCACCAACCUCAUCUUCAUGGCCACUGACCCAUUGACCACCACCCCAAAGACCACCAUGUCCAUCCUGGUGCCCACCAUUCCUACACCCACAACCUCCUUGACCACCAACCCCAUCCUGAUGACCACCAACCCCUUGACCACCAUCUUGAUGGCCACCACCCCUAAGACCACCACGUCCAUCCUGGUGACCACCAUUCCUACACCCACAACCUCCUUGACCACCAACCCCAUCCUGGUGACCACCAACCCCUUGCCCACCACCCCAAACACCACCAUGCCCAUCCUGAUGCCCACCAA